rnacentral:rRNA from 2 species
UGGUGCCAGCAGCCGCGGUAAUUCCAGCUCCAAUAGCGUAUAUUAAAGUUGUUGCAGUUAAAAAGCUCGUAGUUGAAUUUCGGGGUUAGUAGGUUGGUCAUGCCUCUGGUAUGUACUGGUCUCACUGAUUCCUCCUUCCUUAUGAACCGUAAUGCCAUUAAUUUGGUGUUGCGGGGAAUUUGGACUGUUACUUUGAAAAAAUUAGAGUGUUUAAAGCAAGCUAACGCUUGAAUACAUUAGCAUGGAAUAAUGAAAUAGGACGUUCGAUCUUAUUUUGUUGGUUUCUAGGAUUGACGUAAUGAUUAAUAGGGAUAGUUGGGGGCAUUAGUAUUCAAUUGUCAGAGGUGAAAUUCUUGGAUUUAUUGAAGACUAACUACUGCGAAAGCAUUUGCCAAGGAUGUUUUCAUUAAUCAAGAACGAAAGUUAGGGGAUCGAAGACGAUCAGAUACCGUCGUAGUCUUAACCAUAAACUAUGCCGACUAGGGA